rnacentral:lncRNA from 1 species
CCUCAAGCUCUCUUUCCUAUGUAAUUUUUAAAAGCAUAUAAUUUAAUGAAAAUAAAAACUCUUUAGCACUAGACCAUGUUCCUGAAAAUGCACAAAAGCCUACAGUUCAACAAUGUAUCAUCUCUAUAAAAUGGAACACAAAGAUCUGGAUGUAGUUCUUUUGAACUAGUACCAUAACAUCUUGGAACUACUUCUAGAUAAAAUAAUUGCACGCCAUGGGUUACCCUGAUAUGGAGUAUAGUAAGAAAAGUAGUCUACUCUAAGCUCAUGUUAUCACAUAUUAGUAAAAGUGGCUUCAAUGGAUAGUUGAAUCUGCUAUUUACUUCUAAAACCCUUUUGAGAGUUAAAUAAGGACCCCAAUAGACAUUUUAACUGUUAUUUAUAGAUCAAAAAAACCACGUAAACACUGAAAACUUGCAUUUAUCCUGAGCAGAACUGCUUUUACAGAAUCCACAAAUCCUAUGAAAACAUGGUUACAUUUGUUCACAAUAUGUGGAAGACAUUAUUCCCUAUACCCCCUUUGUCCCUUUUGUGAGGACGUAAAUAAAAACCUACCUUAGCACCAGAGAAAUUGUUUCUCUUGAGGAAAUGAUGAAUAGUAUUGUUUCUAUUGUAUGGGCACUGAUUAUUUUACAUAAUUAUUUCCCUUUUUAUUCUGGAUAUUGAGAAGCUAAGAAACAAAUUUAAGCAAAUUUUCAGCAAUUCAUGGAAUAUAUUUUGGUACUAAUUUAAUGUGCCUCCUUUGGUCUACUGUUUUGAACAACAUCAAAAUAGAUAUAUUUGAAUACUAGUCAAUAAAUACGAUAAUCCUAAAAAAAAUAUAUUUACAUAUACACACACACAUACAAGCUAAAAUUAAUGACAACUACUAAAUGCUAGAUAUAUUUAUCACUUCUUUGAUUAAAAAUAUUUGUUAUAUAUAUGACAAACAGAUGAAAGAUUAGCAGACUCAAUUUCUGGGAAAAAAAAGAUUAGAACGUAAUUUCUAGAUACUGGUUUUAAAGGAUUCGAAAAACUCAAUCUAGAAUCCUCCUUUUAACAUAAUUUUGGAAUUAUUAAACUCUUAUUUCAGAACCUAUGUCCUAAAAGGGCAAGUAUCUGUUUCAAAAGAAACCAGUUUGGAGAUACAAACAAAAAUCUUUCUUAUGACAUGUUAAAGUUGAUGCAACUUUUGAAAGAGCACUCCUAGACCAAGAUUUCUUUGGCUUAUGGGCUAAAUAAACUUUAUGUUGAUGAUUACCUACUUUCAAUUACUUUAAUGAGCUAUUUAUACUACAUUAAUGAAAUGUGGGAGACAUACUAAGCUACCACUCACUGGGGUUUUAAUGAUUCAAAUCCCUAAUGAAUCUGACAAACUCUUGGGCCCGAAAUUAACAGAGGUAAGCAAGAAUAAGAUGAAGGAAACUGAAGUUAACCAUUUCUAGAUUUCCAGAAAAAAAUUUUCUUGGUUCUUAGUUAACCUGUUUGUUACUAGGUAACACCCAAGAUGUUCAUUUUACAUUUAGAUACCAAAGAUUAUAUCUUCAAAAGAGGUAAAGCCAUAAGACAAAUUGGAACUUGAUUAGGUUGGGGUAAUGAGAAAAAUAUUAAAAAUGUAUUGUUAUUUUCUAAAAUAACUUCUGCUAAAGCAUUUCAAAAUUCAAUUGUUUCAAAGGCCAUACGAUUAUUCUCAAGACUCUUGAAAAGUUGUAACGCAGUAGAUGAAGAAGAAACCAACAUGCACAUUCUUUUCUGGAAAUAAUUUCAAACAGAAACUUAAGGGGGUUAAAAACUAAGCCUGCUUGAUAUAUCUUCAAUACCCUGAAGUGGGAAAACCAAUUGCUCUUUGAAGUAGAGGUAUGAGCAAGCUACAAGGCUCAAAAAUUGUCAAAAAUUGACAGGCUCUGCAAAUAAUGGCUAUAAAUCACUAACAAAAGAAAAAUGUUUAACAACAUGCAGUGAGAAAAGAGCAAUGGGCCAUCCACUGAACUUUUCAGGUACUGGAACAUUAAAAAAUUGCCAUUAUUAAUGCUAUUUUCAAAUACAAUGAGUGACAACAUAUAAUAUGCAAAUAAAACACUAAGAACACUUCAGCGUGACAUAUUAAAGCAAAACAGAAACAAUAUACUUACCAGCUCCUCCACAGAGGGGCCAGACUUCAGAUAUAAGAAAAAAGUUUUAUAAUUAGAAAAAGAUCAAACAAAUGAUUUUAUUUAGUGGUAUAGUCAUUAUAAGGAAAAAUCCCACAUGUUGGAUAUCAUUUGGGUAAAGUUCAUUAGAACAAAUAUAUUUGCAAUCUAUAAACAAUAGUAACUGUAAUAGCAUUAGAUUAAAACUUUUUGUUUUAUCAAAAUUAGUCAACAUAACUGGUACAGUGUUCUUUUCAUCAUACUCUUUCAAAUUCUAAUGUUAAAACUUCAGGUAAAUUCUUUUCUAGAGAAAAUUUAGAUUGUUUCUGAAUGUUAAUGUCAAAUAGCUCGAAGAAGCAGUUAUGAGCUUUUAUUUCAGUUAAAUAAAACCCUUCUAACACAGAUUCACAGAGUUAGAAAACUUAAGAGUUUAACUUAAAAUUAUUUUCAUGAAUUUUAACACAUCAGUACUAGGAACUAAUUAACCAAAUGAAAUUAACUGAAAACAAAUAAAACUUAUAAAUGUAUUACUCUCAUUAUAUCAUCAACAUCAUUUCAUGUCCUGCCUCUGCCAAGCAAUAGCUGUCUUAUUUAUUGCUGUGUCCCAUAUAGGAACAAAAUAUCUGCUAUCUCUUACACACUCAAAACAUAUGUGGUACACAGUGGCAGGAAAAAUGCUUACAAUAUAUUAAGAGCAAAAGAAAAGAAUGUGCUACUGGUUGGUACCCAAUUCCAUUUCUUACUUCUUCCUUAUUAACAGACUCCAGUUUUACUGGAAGUGGCCAUAUGGCCAAUAGGAGACUGACAUGCAGCUGGGGAUGGUCAAUGAAAUGCUGGCAAAAAUUACUGAGAAAGAUUUAAUAAUAAGUUCUUUAAAGAAGGCUAACAUCAUGGAGAAGCAUCUUUUUGCCCUUUCCUUAGAUUAAUCCUUCUUCCUGCCUGAAAUGCAGACAUGAAGAAAUCCUGAGGAUGGAAACCAUAAGCUAAAAAUGGCAGAGCACAGUGAUGGAAGGAAUCUGGAUCUCUAAUAUUUGUGGAGCUGCCGUAUCAACUCUAGACUGCCGGUCUCAGAUUUCAUUUCAGAGAAAAAUAAGUACUGUUCAAGAAUAAUCCCAAUGUUACUUGGGAUUUCUGUUAUAUGCAACUGAAUUUAAUCCAACUGAUACAGUAGGGCAAAAAAAAAUCUUAUAUGUUAUAAUCACAAAUAUCUUUUAAACAUAUUUAUACAUAUAUUUUAAAUAGGAAAAAUUCUAUCAGUUGAUUGUUGAUAUCACUGAUUAUCUAUAGGUGAUGAGAUUGUAGAUUAUCAUAAUGAUCAUAAACUUUAUAUUUCUUAUAUUUUCUAAAUUUCCCACAAUAAGCACAUAUAUUUUAUAAUUUAAAAGUCUCAUUCAAAAUUGUCCUGUACACCCUGUAAAAUACAUGCAAGGGCAUGUCACUCUCUAAACUACUU